rnacentral:snRNA from 1 species
AUACCUUUCUCGGCCUUUUGGCUAAGAUCAAGUGUAGUAUCUGUUCUUAUCAGUUUAAUAUCUGAUACGUGGGCCAAUGGCCUACAACGAUAUUAAAUUUAUUUUUUAAGGGAGAAGGCCCAUCACAGUAGCUUGCUGCUGGGGUCUUCAAGCGUCGCUCAUGCGUUGCACUACUGCACGGGCCUGGCGCAUCCCAC